rnacentral:snoRNA from 1 species
AGGUCAUUUCAAAGAGGGCUUUUGGGGCUAUUGAAACCGAGAGUCCUUAACGCAGUGACCACAGAGUGAUCUUCUCCACAGGACUCCAUAGUCACUCAGUAGUGCUGUAUAGUCCUGAGGAGAUAACAUU